rnacentral:rRNA from 1 species
GUGCCAGCCGCCGCGGUAAUACGGAGGGUGCAAGCGUUAUCCGGAUUCACUGGGUUUAAAGGGAGCGUAGGUGGGUUGGUAAGUCAGUGGUGAAAUCUCCGAGCUUAACUUGGAAACUGCCAUUGAUACUAUCGAUCUUGAAUACUGUGGAGGUAAGCGGAAUAUAUCAUGUAGCGGUGAAAUGCUUAGAUAUGAUAUAGAACACCAAUAGCGAAGGCAGCUUACUACGCAGUUAUUGACACUGAGGCUCGAAAGCGUGGGGAUCAAACAGGAUUAGAUACCCUGGUAGUCCACGCCCUAAACUAUGGAUACUCGACAUCAGCGAUACACUGUUGGUGUCUGAGCGAAAGCAUUAAGUAUCCCACCUGGGAAGUACGUCCGCAAGGAUGAAACUCAAAUAAAUUGGCGG